ensembl:lncRNA
GAAGAUCUCACCUCAUAACCAGCACCAAGAGGAUAAAGAAAGGGUCCAUAAUUCUUCUGACAUGGAUGUAUUGUCUUCAAAUGAAGCUUUAAAAGAUGGGAUGACAGAGACAGAUUCUUGUGUCGACUCUUAAAGACUGGAGGGAUAAAACCAAGAAUUCUGGAAACAAACUGCUGAACAAUACAAGACUGAGCCAGAAGACACAAACUAAAGGCUGCAUGGACACAGUGUGACGUCUCAACUAGAUGGUGCAAACGAAACAGCUCAUGAAAAUGGAAUCAGUGAUGCUGCUGGUGAGAUUCUUGGUGAGCAUCCGGCGCUGAACAAGGUGUCACAUUAUACAACAGAGCGAUCCAAAUGUCCUGAGAACCACCAAGUCUGAGCGGCGCCGGACUGGGACAGAUGUUCUGCUUCUGCUGUCAAUUUGCCCGCCAAAAUCGGGCUCAUUACGGCGUAACAGUCAUCAAAUCCACUGAAUAGUUAAUAUCCUUUUCAUUGUGAAGUUGUACAAAUCCCUUUCUGUUCCACUGGCAUGUCGAAUGUGGUUUUAACAGGAGAAGUAAAAGCAAAGCCCUCCUGGAAAAUGUAAUUAUAGUGUGUGAAUUAUGAACAGUUAAACCCCCAAUAAUGAUCCUGGAGCCAGUGGGACGACUACUGCCUUUGGUUUUGUAGAUACCAUCGUGGUAGAUGCGUCUUGAUUUGACACUUUCAAACCAGGAGGUUCAUCACGAGGCUGUUUUUUCUUUUUUUUUAUUAUCGGUAUUAUUAUCAUUAAUUCAAACAGAACAAUGCCUGAGGAUGCCUCGCAGGAGAAAAAUGAAAGGUGCCCUGCAUGUUAGAGGUUCAUAGAGGUUCAGUCAGAGUUCAUGGAGCCUUUUAUUAAAGGACCUUUCAAAGAAACGUGUCUCCAGGAAAAAACAGUCCCAAAGGGGAUUUAGAUGCUAAUGUCAG